AGUUGUAGAAAGUUGUUGCUUGCAAGAGCAUAUACAUGUUUUUGAUUGGCUCCUGAGACAGGAGAGGGGCGGGAACUCAGCCCUGGGGACUCAGCCAGGCUCAGAGAAGAGAAGGAGUCUGGGGAUCACAGAGCUUGGGGAGAAACCACCUUGCAACCUGCCCUUGAAGUGAGCCUGCCCUUAGCAAGGCAGGGAAGAUAACCUGGUAUCCUUUGUCCCUCUGUGAGGCAGAGGGACCCAUGUGGAGGAAAAAGGGUCAUAAGGUACACUUGCCUAGGAAGGCAGGGUGUUGAUCUGGGAAGACUCUGGGGAGAGUUAACUGAGAAACAGCCUGGGGCGAGGCAGCUGGAGCAGAGGAGAGCUUCUCUUCCCAAGGCAGGCUCUAGCAGAGAGCAGGACUUUCUGAAGCAGGAGCACUAGCCAUGGUUACUGUGUUACCAGUGUGAAGGAGAGCUGUUGUUUGUUAACCCUGUGUGCUCCUGCUGAAAUUCACUGGAGUCUCAAGGUUUAAGUUGGGGAGUUGUACUGAGGGUGUCUUUGAUUCAAUUUGUAUAGAGUGUUUUAGUUCAUUGUUACCUGCCUUUGACAAUUAGAUUAUUGGUAUCCUGUUCUGCUGUUAACCUCAUUCAUAUGUUGACUGUUUUGUAAAUAAUAAACUGUGUAAAUAGUUA